rnacentral:rRNA from 1 species
AGGACGAACGCUGGCGGCGUGCUUAACACAUGCAAGUCGAGCGGAAAGGCCCUUCGGGGUACUCGAGCGGCGAACGGGUGAGUAACACGUGAGCAAUCUGCCCCUAGCUCUGGGAUAGCUCCGGGAAACCGGGAUUAAUACCGGAUACGACUGCUACGGACAUCUGUGGUGGUGGAAAGUAACUUCGGCUAGGGAUGAGCUCGCGGCCUAUCAGGCUUGUUGGUGGGGUAACGGCCUACCAAGGCGACGACGGGUA